GAUGAACGCUGGCGGCGUGCUUAACACAUGCAAGUCGAGCGAGAAUUAAGAGUUGGAGACUUCGGUCAAAGACUUUUAAGGAAAGCGGCGGACGGGUGAGUAACGCGUGGGUAACCUGCCUUAUACAGGGGGAUAACAUAUUGAAAAGUAUGCUAAUACCGCAUAAGCGCACGGCAUCGCAUGAUGCAGUGUGAAAAACUCAGGUGGUAUAAGAUGGACCCGCGUCUGAUUAGCUAGUAGGUGAGGUAAUGGCUCACCUAGGCGACGAUCAGUAGCCGGCCUGAGAGGGCGAACGGCCACAUUGGGACUGAGACACGGCCCAAACUCCUACGGGAGGCAGCAGUGGGGAAUAUUGCACAAUGGGGGAAACCCUGGAUGCAGCGACGCCGCGUGAAGGAUGAAGGUUUUCGGAUCGUAAACUUCUAAUCAGCAGGGACAUAAUACGGUACCUGACUAAGAAGCCCCGGUAACUACGUGCCAGCAGCCGAC
rnacentral:rRNA from 1 species